AUUGAACGCUGGCGGCAUGCCUUACACAUGCAAGUCGAACGGCAGCACGGGAGCAAUCCUGGUGGCGAGUGGCGAACGGGUGAGUAAUAUAUCGGAACGUGCCCAGUCGUGGGGGAUAACGUAGCGAAAGCUACGCUAAUACCGCAUACGAUCUAUGGAUGAAAGCGGGGGAUCGCAAGACCUCGCGCGAUUGGAGCGGCCGAUAUCAGAUUAGGUAGUUGGUGAGGUAAAGGCUCACCAAGCCGACGAUCUGUAGCUGGUCUGAGAGGACGACCAGCCACACUGGAACUGAGACAACGGUCCAGACUCCUACGGGAGGCAGCAGUGGGGAAUUUUUGGACAAUGGGCGCAAGCCUGAUCCAGCAAUGCCGCGUGCAGGAUGAAGGCCU
rnacentral:rRNA from 1 species